UCAGGGUCAUUUUCAUUGUCUCAGUCAGUGAUCAAAUGAGUAGGGUUUGCAGCCAGAUAAAUCCUAGGCUCAAAAUCCAGUUCUGCCACUUGAUAGCCACUGUCCUUAGAAAGUUCUGAACUUCUUUAAAAAGAAAAACUUGAUAUUGAACUUGGUAAAAACUUCUUUAUCAAGUUCAAUAUCUAAAAUAUUGGAUCAGUGAUGGUAAUGGUAUAAAUAAUUGUGUGGUUCUAUAAAUGAUAAGAUCAUAUAUAGAGAGUUAUUUGCACAGUGCCUGGCACAUUGUAACAUAUUAUCAUAUCUUUUUUGGGGGGGUUAUCAGGAAUUGAACUCAGGGGUGCUUGAUCACUGAGCCAUAUCCCCAGCCCUAUUUUGUAUUUUAUUUAGAGACAGAGUCUCACUGAGUUGUUUAGCACCUUGCCUUUGCUGAGGCUAGCUUUGAACUCACAACCCUCCUGCCUCAGCCUCCCGAGCUGCUGGGAUCCCAGGCAUGUGCCCCAUGCCUGGCCAUCUCAGCAUAUCUUAGCCAUGACUUUUUUUUUCUUUUUUCUUUUUUUUUUCUAAGAGAGAGAUAGAGAAUUUUAAUAUUUAUUUUUUAGUUUUCAGAGGACACGACUUCUUUGUUUGUAUGUGGUGCUGAGGAUCCAACCCGGGCCGCACUCAUGCCAGGCGAGCGCGCUACUGCUUGAGCCACAUCCCCAGCCCCUUAGCCAUGACUUUUAUUGCUGUUUUUUUAAAAAAUAAAUUUAGAAAUUAUCCUAAAUUCUCAAUAUAUUCAAAUCAUGGGAACUGAAUACCAAAUUAUUAGUCUACAAAUACAUUAUUAGUCUACAAUAAGGUUGCCAAUGAGCUGGGGUUGUGGCUCAGCGGUAGAGCACUCACCUAUCACGUGUGAGGCCCUGGGUUUGAUCCUCAGCACCACAUGUAAAUAAAAUAAACAUAAUGUGUUUUUACAACUAAAAAAUAAAUACUAAAAAAAUAAGGCUGCCAAUCAGGCCAGAUACCAUGUUAUCCUUCCUUUCUCCUCCCUGUGGAUAGGGACAGGGAUUAACAGAAAUUCUUACGCUCCACCCCACAUUUUAAAAAAUAUAUUCUGAUAUGGGUAUUACUCCUUUUUUUUUUCAAUGUCAUUUUACCUUCUUUUCACAGUAUGUCACAUUUCCAAGUUACUUUACAUUGAGCUAUGGCUCCUUAAUUUAAAAUUUCAAUAAAAAAAGAUUAACUCUUCUCUGACCUUUGAGUCCAAGAUCCUGGACACUGAAUUACUUUGGGAACUCUAAUCUCUCUUUCUGUCCAUGGAUGACAGUAUUUGUCCUCAAAGGAAAGAAAAAUAAGUUUUUAUUUGAGAAUCAGAUGAUGUAUCAUAGAGUUGCAAAGAAUUCCCUGCUAGAAAACUCAGUAACAGAAGGCCAAGUGCAUUAGUUAGAGAUGCUAUUGAUGCAAAGGGAAUGGAACCAAGUGUCCUCAGCUGCCCUUAGAUUAUCCUUCCUGAGAUAUUCAUCUGGGAGUAGGUCUUACAUUCCUGACAUUUGCAAAAGGAGCCUGCGGGACUUUUGCCUUAAAUGUAGGACCAGCUGGUAGCUCUCUCCUACAGUCAUCCCUGAAAUAUUGUGAAAUUCCUUUGUUUCCAGGAGCCUAUGAAGGGGACCUCAGAGAUAUGAGUGGGUAAUUACAGAACACUCUUAAAUCAAACUCAUUUCAGGCCCCAGAAUUGGCCAAACAUAUUUGUUUUUGCCCUUCUUUCUCAGCCUUCCUUAUACUUUCUUUUUGUGUGCACAUUUGUUAGUUUACAUAGAAGACUCUAAAACUGAUAAUGAAGUUUAAAUACCUUUGGGGAAAACUGGAUAUUUGUUGUAACUGCUUUUAAGAUUAAAUUAAAAUCCUGAAAGGCAAGAAGUGUAUCAUAGUAAUAUCAAGAAAGAGCAAAUCUCAAACAUGUUAUUUUAGAAAAGAAACUUCAAAUAUGAUUUUAGGUUUAUAGCCUCUCUCAAACAAAACUUCAUAUCUUAGCCUCUUAUUCUGAAGAUUAUGAUUAUGUUGCUUUAGGUUGUUCACUUUAUCCUAUGUAAGAAAAUACAGUGUGUAACAUUUGAGUAUCGUAUUUGUUCAAACUCAAUGUGCCCUCUUGUCCAGUUCUUCUUAUUAUUUGUGGUAGUCAGCUUUCUGUCACUGUAACAAAAUACCUGAGAUAAUCAAAUGAAAAAGAGGAAAGGUUGUAUUGUCUCACAGUUUUGAGACCAGUUGGUCCUGUUGCUUUGGGCCUGUGGUGGCACACAGCAUUAUAAUUGCAAGCAUGUAGUUUCAGAGCAAGCUGCUCACCUUGUGGCAUCUGGGAAGCAAAAAGAGAGAGGAAGGGGCCAAAGUCCUACUGUUCCCUUCAAGGACAUACCCACAGUGACCUAAAACCUUCUGUUAUCACCUCUUACAGGUUCUACCACCUGCCAAUAAAACCAAAUUGGAGAUGAAGCUUUUAACACAUAGGCCUUGGAGUCCAAAUCUAUACUAUAGUAUUGUGGAUGACUAAAAUAUAUUCUUUAUUAAUAGGAUUUGGCUGUUUUACAACUCUUGGAUUUCUACUAUAAGCUUUAUUGACAAUGAAGAAACUUCUAAGGCAUUAAGUAUAACUCAAAGAAAUACCAUACCAUAAUGAAGGUUAGGCUGUUUAGCCACAUUUGAAACUAUUUUUCCCUCCUCUUAGAAGAAAACAUAGGGGAAAGGCUUCUAGACCUUAGACUGAAUAACAUCAAACAGAAGCAAAAAUAGACAAGUGGGAUUACAUCAAGCUUAAAAGUUUCUGCAUAGCAAAAGAAAUCUUUAGCAAAAUUAAAAAGCAACCUGUGGAAUGAGAGAAGAUAUUUCUUGAUGAUAUAUCUGUGGAAUGAGAGAAGAUAUUUCUUGAUGAUAUAUCUGAAAAAAAAAGUCAUCCACAAAUUAUGUAAGUAACUUCUAUAAUUCAAUGGCAAAACAAUCUGAUUUAGGCAAAGGACCUGCCUGAAUAGACAUUUCUCCUGAAAAAAACAUUAAUAUUUGGCAGGUAAAUGGAAAGGUGCUCGAUCCUACUGAUAAUCAGGGAAAUGCAAAUCAAAACCACAGUGAGAUAUCACCUUGAGUAUAUUAGGAUGGCUAUUAAUCAGUUUUUUUAAAUGACAAGUGUUCAUGAGGAUGUUAAAAAAAGGAACAUUUGAAUACUGUCGGUGGGAAUAUAAAUUGGUGCAGCCAAUUUAUGCAUGAAUCAACAUGAAUUUUCCUCAAAAAAAAAGAACUACCAUUUGGUUUAGCAAUCCUAUUUCUGGGUAUAUAUCCAGAGAAAAUAAAAUCAGUAUGUGAAAGAGACAUCUGCAUUUCUG
rnacentral:lncRNA from 1 species